rnacentral:rRNA from 1 species
AGUGAACGCUGGCGGUAGGCCUAACACAUGCAAGUCGAACGGCAGCACAGUAAGAGCUUGCUCUUACGGGUGGCGAGUGGCGGACGGGUGGGGAAUACAUCGGAAUCUACUUUUUCGUGGGGGAUAACGUAGGGAAACUUACGCUAAUACCGCAUACGACCUACGGGUGAAAGCAGGGGAUCUUCGGACCUUGCGCGAUUGAAUGAGCCGAUGUCGGAUUAGCUAGUUGGCGGGGUAAAGGCCCACCAAGGCGACGAUCCGUAGCUGGUCUGAGAGGAUGAUCAGCCACACUGGAACUGAGACACGGUCCAGGCUCCUACGGGAGGCAGCAGUGGGGAAUAUUGGACAAAGGGCGCAAGCCUGAUCCAGCCAUACCGCGUGGGUGAAGAAGGCCUUCGGGUUGUAAAGCCCUUUUGUUGGGAAAGAAAAGCAGCAGGUUAAUACCCCGCUGUUCUGACGGUACCCAAAGAAUAAGCACCGGCUAACUUCGUG